CAAUAGCGUAUAUUAAAGUUGUUGCAGUUAGAACGCUCGUAGUCGGAUUUCGGGGCGGGUUGACCGGUCUGCCGAUGGGUACGCACUGGCCGACGCGUCCUUCCUUCCGGAGACCGUCCCUACUCUUAACUGAGCGGGGGCGGGAGACGGAACGUUUACUUUGAAAAAAUCAGAGUGUUUCAAGCAGGCAUCUCGCUCUUGCAUGGAUUAGCAUGGGAUAAUGAAAUAGGACUUUGGUGCUAUUUUGUUGGUUUCGAACACCGAAGUAAUGAUGAGAAGGGACAGUCAGGGGCACUCGUAUUCCGCCGAGAGAGGUGAAAUUCUCAGACCAGCGGAAGACGAACCACUGCGAAAGCAUUUGCCAGGGAUGUUUNCACUGA
rnacentral:rRNA from 1 species